rnacentral:lncRNA from 1 species
AUGUGCAUUUUAUAAAAUAAUAGUGAAUGUUGUAGUGUGUUAUUUUGAAUUAUUAUUGUGAUUUUCUUAAGCAGGAUGCGCUUUUUUCAACUGAGUAUUGUUUUUCUCGUUUUGGUAAGUUUGGUCUAUUUCAUAAACAAAUGUGCAGCUUAAAAUGUUACCUUAUAUUGACUCUUGUGAGUUUUCAACAGAUGUUAUAAGCUGUGGUCACACCUUACAGGAUAGCACGAACGGACACCUAACGGAUGAAAAUAAAAGUGCUCCGUUGACAAAAUUGUUAUCAGUUGGGAGUCCGUUGAUGUACUGACAAAACUAAACGGAUGUGUAACGAAUGCAUAACGAACACACACCGGAUAUGUAACGUACGAGAAACGGAAACGUUCCGGACAGAACGGAUGUCGAAUGUACAUUUAACAGACGAGUACCGCAUAAAAUGGACACCUAACGGAUAAAACGAACGAACAAGAUAUAUGGAAAAAUAAAGGCAACAAUAAUAAUACAUGUAAAUGGCAUAAAUAUUCAAAAAGUUUCUGUGUAACUGGUUUUGGUUUGUUCUUCAAAAUGCCACCAAAGGGUAGUUGGUGUCCUGAAUAAGAGCUGCGUUGUAGUGAAGAAGUGCCCUUACUUUGAGAUGGAUUAUGAAUAAUAAGAAUGCAUGGCACUCAAGAAAUAUGACAUACUAAUAAUUGGCAUUUCUGACGCGAAAUUAAUUGUCAAUUUGCAUUUAUCCAUUUGAGAUCCGUCAAAUAUCCGUUUUAUCCGUUAUACGUCUGGUAGAAGUCCGUUUCACAUUCGUUAAACAUCCGUUUUAUUCGUUAUACAUCUAGUAGAAGUCCUUUGAGGAACUUGUCUACCAGACCUCUAACGGACAAAUAACCGGAUACAGAACAGAAACCAAACGGACGACUACAGUACAAAACGGACGCCUACCGGACGUUCAACGUACACUUCAUCCGUUGGAUGUCCGUUCAAAGUUGUGAACAUGCUCAAACAUAACGGAAAUUAAACGGAUAUGGACGGAAGUCUAACGGAUAAGAACGGACGUCUAACGGACUUGAAUGGAUUGAAAAACAGUUAUCCGUUCCGCAUCCGUUCGUGAUAAACGUUAAGGUGUGACCGAGGCGUUAAGGUAUACAGGCAACAUUAUUCCUAUACCUAAAGAUCUAUCAGUUUGACUGUCCCUCUGGUAUUUUUCGUCCCUCUUUUAAAUGUAUAUUAUAACGGUGAUGUGCUUACAUGCUAUGACUAUGGUGUGUCACUUUCGGAAAAAUUAUGCCAUGUAACUUGCUACCAUUAUUGUUGCAUUAUGACAUGAUUCAAAACCAUUACACAUUUCUAUAGUUUACUGCAUGAAAACUAAAAAAUAAAUCAAAAUUGGGAGUAGAUAUGAUUCCUUUGAGUCGUUUUAGUCACAUGAAGCGAACAUGGAAUUACAAUCUUUUGUGUUUUGACCUUUACGAAUAAAGUGACUGUAAUGCGUUCUUGAAGGAAUUUUCCUUAUGAAAGAAUGAAGUAUUAUGCCUAGCAUAACUGCAAAAUAACGUGUUUCAUUUAAAAAUUUACUGAUAUAGCUUAGUAAAAUACAUCAAAUGUAAAUAUAAAGAUGCAUUAUACAGAAUAGAUCGAUAAUGCUCAAAGGCAAAUAUUUGAUGUACAAGUACGAAAAGAAAACAUCUAAGAAUUACAUGAAAAAGAGACCUCAAAACACCAAUCUCCUGUAACUGUAGCUUUGACUAAGGGAUUGUGAAUCGACAUGUAAAUCAACAGAUUAAUGUAAUUUAAAGAAUAAAAUGUUAAAUAACAAAAGAGCUCCAAGGAAAAUUUUAAACGGAAAGUCCAUUAUCAAAUGGCAAUAUCAUACGACUGAAAACAACUUUCGUAUUUAUGACUUUUCCUUCUGUAGAAAAUUAUUAAGUAUUGUAGUUAGCUACGUAGCUAAACUACUCACAAUGACAGUCGCAAACAAUUCCAUUAUGUUGAAAACAAUGAGUGACCAUUACAAACAGAUAUGCAGGCACACAUGUCGAAAAGGAGUACAGCAGUCAACAUUGUGCUGUAAUCGUAAUGACUUUAAAAACAAACAAAUAAUUAUGUGAACAAAGAAAAAAAGAAACUAUAAAUAAAAUAUCGAAAAUUUAUAUGUCAUGGCUUCUUACUUAAUAACUUUGCAGUCCUGUCUAGCCACUUAAUGUGUAUUCGAUCAUUAAAGGUUGUUGGUGUAUAUUCGAGUGAGAAUAUUUGCGACCUUCCGAAAGUGGUUGGACCAUGUCGUGCGAGGUUGCCAAGAUUUCAUUUUGAUGUAAAAACUGGUCGAUGUAAAAAGUUUUUUUAUGGUGGUUGUGGUGGGAACGAAAACAAUUUCAAAACGAAAAAAGACUGUCUUACUACCUGCAAGAAACGAG